UAAGUCCACUGGAAGUGCCUGUUCAUACAGGCUGAGAUUCUCAUAGUGAUGAGAAAAUUCUUGGAACCUGAUCCAGUUCAUACUGGCGUAGGAAAGUGGCGUAUUGCACUU
rnacentral:ncRNA from 2 species